rnacentral:rRNA from 1 species
GACGAACGCUGGCGGCGUGCUUAACACAUGCAAGUCGAACGGAAAGGCCCUGCUUGCGGGGUACUCGAGUGGCGAGCGGGUGUGUAACACGUGGGUGAUCUGCCCUGCACUUCGGGAUAAGCCUGGGAAACUGGGUCUAAUACCGGAUAGGAGCCAUUCUGAGUGUGAUGGUUGGAAAGUUUUUUUGGUGUAGGAUGAGCUCGCGGCCUAUCAGCUUGUUGGUGGGGUAAUGGGCUACCAAGGCGGCGACGGGGAGCCGGCCUGCGUGGGUGGACGGCCAAAUUGGGACUGAGGAACGGCCCAGGCUCCUAAGGGAGGCAGGAGUGGGGAAGAAUGGACAAAGGGCGGGAGCCUGGUGCAGCGAAGCCGCGGGGGGGAUGACGGGCUUCGGGUUGGAAACUCCUUUCGCUAGGGACGAAGCUUUUUGUGACGGUACCUGGAUAAGAAGCACCGGCUAACUACGUG